UGUGCAUGUGUAUCACAUAAAAUUACAAAAAGGGAGGGCCCCGCAUGAGAAUGUAUGUGUGUGUGACACAAAAAUUGUUGGACAGCAAUUGUCCUGAGUGUAAGUGUGCAUGUGUGUAAUGUUGCUAACCGCAGCUUUUCUUAUAAAAGAGUGAGUAAUGAUGCUUAUAAGGCUGCUACAACAGCUAAAAAAACUUCCCACAGAAAGUGAGGGACAAGAUUGAGAGAAAGAUUUGAGGAGAAAGGUUUGAAUGAGCCGAGAGAAGAAAAAAGGAAAACAACGAUACGAUAUAUUUGCUUUUUUCCACAAAGCGGUAAUUUAACUAAUCCCUUAUCUUGAACAAAAAAUAUGCUAGUUUAAUGUUAAAACCUUUCAAAUACUCCGAAAAUAUCGCAUUUAUACGUUUUCUUUAAAAUUAUAGUUGAAUUCGGAAUUCAAUUUUUCAUGGGAAACAGCGCGGUAUUUUAGUCAUAAACUUUUGCAUUAUGAUAUCCGAAUUAUUGAUUAAUUGCGUUGGAAAGAUAUCAAAAUUUCUAAAAACUUAUAUUUAGAACAUUUUGUAAAAUUAAGAAUCUAAGGAUUCAAAAUUGCGAUACAGUGCAAUUCGAAAACUGGAAGAAUUAAUUGUGCGAAUAGAAACUUUAGAAAUUUAUAAAAAUAGUUACGUAUGUUAGAAAAAAUUAUGAAAAUUUUAUAUGUAUACAAUUAUAUGUCUAGUUAUUGUAUAUUUAAUUUCAUGAAUGAAAAAUGGUGUCGAUAUAUAGAAUAAUUAUAACUGAAUUACUGUUAAUGAAAAUUUUGAACAGGAAUUGGAAGUUGGCGAAUUUUGAAAAAUAGUUAUCCAACUUAAAAUUUUAUGAUAUUUUACUGUAAGUAAAUAAAGUGUGGUCUAUCUAUUAUGAAUUAAAUUCGGAAGUCAAAUUAAAUUGAUGAAUUUAUAAAAAUAAAUUACCGAAUGCCUAUUUUUGAAAAAUUUUAAAUGUUUUUGAAAACAAAAUUCGAAUUUAUUUAAAUUUUUGUGAAAUGAAAUUAAAAUUGUAAAAUGUUAAAAUUCAUCGCCCCCGUAAGGAGGAUAUUAAAUAUGACAGUUCGAAUAUUAAACGUAGUAGGACCCGAAUUCUAGGAAGGAACGUUAGUCAGAACGUUAGCUGCGGUUGUGUUGUAGAAGAUUUGAUGCAUAUCUCGGUGAGCUUGUUAUGUAUUACAUAGCAUAAAAGUAAUGUUUAUGGUUGAAAGCAUGGCGGUGUUAAAAAUGAUAUAUUUAUGGUUAAAAGCAUGCUUGUUUUGAUACCAUGGAAAUUAUGAAAAUGAUAAUUGUUGAAUGAAAUGUAUAUUUUUAAGCGACACAUAGUUCAUACGAUGCCCGUGCGCUAGGGGGAGAUAUAGCGUGGUUGAUGUUAAAUAGGAGAUCCUGACCAGAUGAUUGUGGGAUGAAUUCAUACCAAAGGUGUAGGUCGCUCCCUAUGUUCUGGUUGUUCGUUGAACGGUUAGGUGUGGGCUGUAGACCAAAAUUGUCAAUCGUAAAUGGAAUGUAAAACUUGAUGUAUAGUUGCGUUUACCUGAGUCAUGAGUCCCGCGGGAGGGAUUGAUUUAUAUGUAUCUUGACUGAUAGUCAAGAGAUGCCUAGGUGAGCAAUUGUCUUGACAAAAAGUGGUUCAUUUCUGUUUUUUAAAUGAACCGGAUUUUCAUAUAUUUCUGGUGCAUGUAUGUUUUAUAUAACCUGACUCACCAUAGCCUAUUGCUUAAGACGUGUCGAAGUAAAUCAUUUCAGGGAUGAAAAUGAGAGAUGACACAUUUUGAGGGCAGGGGACCCUAGUGUACGGAGUUUUGAUAGUACUGUACUGUGUGAUAGUAUAGGAACUUUUAUGUUUAAAUUUGUAUAGUUUAAAAGAUACAGUAGUAGUUGACGGUUGUGCCAGUUGUGGCCAGAACCGUGUGGGUUUUUGUAUCGAAAACCCAUGAAGUAGUUGUAUAAUGACACGUCAGCUCUUUGUUUUUUUGGAUGCUUCCGCAUGUAUGUUCAUUCAAGCAAAGUAUGUUGAAUGAUGUUAGUAAAUCCCUUAAAUGAAUUGGUUGGAAGGCCUUAGUGAGAUGUGGGCAUAUUUCACGGGCCGGGUCACGUCGGCCCCUGUAUUAUUGGUGGGGGGGGGGGGGACCCGUGUAAAAAGGGUCAGGGUGUGACACAUUACUUGACAUGGGUGCAAAAGGUUUCAUUAUACUUGACAAGGUGGAUUGAAAAUUGUGGAGUUACAAUUGAAAUAGUAGAGUGGACUCCAUUUCAAGCAGUGGAAUCCACAUUUUUCUACUAAUAAAGGGCGGGUGAAAUAAAUGCGCUCACGCUAUCAACCCGUCAAUCUAAGUUCUACAAGAAGGCCGUGGGUGGCUUGGUGGGCAGGGACGUGGAGUUGGUGGGGAAUCAUUCACCUAGGAAAAACUGAGACAAGUACCAACUUCCGAAAUAAUGCAAAUUUACACUUUAGGGAUGUGCGAGCUUCUGGGCCUCACCAUUCCUCUUGGCCAAUUACUAGCAAGUUUUGAGGUCCGUUUAUGUAAUCUAGACCUAAUUAGCUUUUAGAAUUGGAGGCAGUGCCAAGCGGAAGUAUCCUUUCAAUAUCUUGGCUUUGAUAAUCUUUUAGUGGCAUUAGGUAUUCUGAAACUUCUUUUUUAUUUGAGAUUAAGCUUGAAGAUGAGUUAGAAACAGUUCUGCUUACGUGAGAGUUUGUACUAUUUCUGUGUACAAAUUAGAGGUGUCAAACGUUGCCCGUCGUGCCGUGCCGUGCACUUUUCUUCCGUGCAACGUGCUUCGUUGCCGUGCCGCUGGGCCCAUUUAAUUAAACGUGCCUUGUCGUGGUGCUUAUAAUGGCCGUGCCAUUUUUAAUCGUGCCGUUGUCGAUGCUAUUUUUUUUUAUUGUGCCGUGCCGUGCCGUGCCAAUUUUAUAAACCGUGUCGUGACGUGUUGGCCCAUUUACUUAAUCGUGUGUGUGUAGUGCCGGCCCGCUUACUUAAUUAUGCCGUGUCGUUGCCGGGCCCGCUAACUUAGUCGUGUGACCUCGUGUCAUGCCGUUGCCGUGCCGGUCUACUGAAUCGUGUCGUGCCAUGUCCGUUUUUUAUCAUGUAGUUGUCGGUCGGCUUAAAAUUUCGCCAAUAAAAUACAUUUAUAAGGAGGUUGUAAAUGAGACAAAAUCGUUAUUACAUUCCAUUGAGAAUAUAAUGUCCUAUUUGUUGAAUCUUAGAAAAAUGUUGUAAAUUAAUAAUAUCACAACAAACUAUAAAUGUAAAAAAAUGUAGUUCGAGGGGUUAUGCCACCACCUCGUUAUAUGCAACAAGUUAAAAAAAAAAUAAAAUGUGAAAAAGUGCAGUUCGAGGGGUGGUGUAUGCCACCAUCUCGUUAUAUGUUAACAAGUAGAUGAAGGGCUUUCAAUAUUCGAUAGAUUCAAAUUCGGCUGAGAACGAGAAGUGACAAUACAAACAAAGGAAUGGUGUGAAUUGUCAAUAAUUAUGUGCGAUUGUGUGGUUAGCGAUAAUAUAAUCAACAUUUUUCACCAUAUUAUGUAAUUAUAAAAAUUCAAUUUUGAUCUAUCAAUUCAAAAAAAUUAUUUUUAUUGUAUUAUUGAAAAAUUUCUAUUUAUUGAUUUUUUCUCAUUUUUUAAAUAAAUAAGUUUUAUUUUUUUUUAAAAUUUAUUUUGUCUUAUUAUGGCCUUAAUAUGGGCAAUACGUCAAAAUUUUAAAAUUUAUAGUUUUAUUUUCAAAUUUUUAUUUUUUAUUUUUAUAUUUUUUAUUUUUUUAUUCAUUAAUUUAUUGUAAAUAUUUCUCAAUUUUUUCUUAUUAUGACAUUUGAAAAGUCAAAUUUAUUUAAUUUUAUUUAUUAUUUAUUUACAGGCCAGGACCCAUGAAUAAGUCAAAAUUUAUUAUUUUACUUUCUUUAUUUUCUUUUAAAAUUUUUUAAAAAAAAUUAAUAUGGCAAGUCAAUUUAUUUAAUAAAUUUAUUUUAAUUUAUUUACUAAUUAAUCUUUUAUCACUUCCGUGUCGUGUCAGGCCAAUUUCGUGAGUACCCAUGCUGUGCCCUUGAACACAUUCGUUGCCAUGCCUGUGCCGUGCUGGCUAAGUUCUGGGUCGUGCCGUUGAAGUCGUGAAGGGCCAAAAAAAAAUCAACUAUCGUGUCAUGCCCGGUGCCGGGCCGGGCUUGACCGUGGCCGGGCCACAUGCCGGGCCGUCGUGUGAGCAAACUAUAGUGCCGUGCCAGUGCGUGCUCUGCCCAUUUGAGUGCCUCGUGCCGUGUCCGUGCCCGCUCAGACCGGCCGUAUCGUGCCGUUGCCCAACUUUUACCGUGCCCAAAGCGUUGCUCAUGCCGGGGUUUUUGUUUUUUCGUGUCGUGCCGUGCAGUACCGUGCCGGCAAGGCCCCGCUUGACACCUCUAGUACAAAUAUGUGUGUUAUUAUUAGAACUUUUUUUUUUUUUUUCAGGAAUUUAAAUGUUUAUAUAGCUUUGUGUGACACGUUUAUACGAACACUUGAUAUUUUAAAAGCCUAUCUUUGCGUCUGCUACUCUAUAGGAUAUGUAUCGCAUAAGCGUACUGCUUCUGCCAAUGUAAAAGAUUUAGGUGCCAUCCAGUCAGUUGUAAAACUGAAGUGAUUGAUUGAAGGAAGAUUAAGAUUUUGCCGUGGAGUUUCUGUUGAUCAAGAGUUCUUGUUGAUAGCUGCGGUUCUGUAUGAGAUGACAAUUUUUACUUGUUCACUUGAUAAAUUCGUGGACAAACCGAUGGAUGUGAAAUAUUUGCCUCUACUUUUAAUGUUGAGGCGGCCUUUCUUUGAUGGGUUCGAGUCGCUAACAACUUCAUGGCUUUGUAUUUUGUCCAUGCCCCCUCCCCGAUUCAAGCAGUUGAAUGAUAGAUACCCUUGUAACUCAUAGUCUUAGUUAUUACACAUUAGUUUUCUUAUGAAGAUGUUUUAUAUUAUAAUGAGUUAUAGCGGGUCAGUCUGUAUGACCCAAGGUCAUCAGUGCAUAACGGUCUAGGGUAAAAGGCAGAAUGUUUUGCUUGAUUGUCCAUGAUCAGAGUGAGUUGUACUGUGCUCAAAACCCUAAGAGGGUUCAAAUACACUAAUUUUUGUUGGCUCUAAGUCUCUCGACUCUGUUUUGUCCUUGUUAUCGGGUGUAUCUAUACCAACUUAAAUUUGAAUUCGAAACCAUGUGAGAGAGUCUUGAAUUAAGUAAUUGUUUUUCCUGUCUUCAAAUCCUAGCUGUCACAACCUUAUUUCGAUAAAUUAUAUUUGUAUUUUGCUGUUCUGUUGAAUGUGUUACUGUGUGAUGCAUUACAUGGCGUCUUUUCUGAUACAGGUGAUAAACAUGGCUUUAAUGCAACCUGCGUUGGAUGUUAUCAUCAGUUUGAAAUGUUUG
rnacentral:lncRNA from 1 species